UUUAUUGGAGAGUUUGAUCCUGGCUCAGGAUGAACGCUGGCGGCGUGCCUAAUACAUGCAAGUCGAGCGAAUGGAUUAAGAGCUUGCUCUUAUGAAGUUAGCGGCGGACGGGUGAGUAACACGUGGGUAACCUACCCAUAAGACUGGGAUAACUCCGGGAAACCGGGGCUAAUACCGGAUAAUAUUUUGAACUGCAUAGUUCGAAAUUGAAAGGCGGCUUCGGCUGUCACUUAUGGAUGGACCCGCGUCGCAUUAGCUAGUUGGUGAGGUAACGGCUCACCAAGGCGACGAUGCGUAGCCGACCUGAGAGGGUGAUCGGCCACACUGGGACUGAGACACGGCCCAGACUCCUACGGGAGGCAGCAGUAGGGAAUCUUCCGCAAUGGACGAAAGUCUGACGGAGCAACGCCGCGUGAGUGAUGAAGGCUUUCGGGUCGUAAAACUCUGUUGUUAGGGAAGAACAAGUGCUAGUUGAAUAAGCUGGCACCUUGACGGUACCUAACCAGAAAGCCACGGCUAACUACGUGCCAGCAGCCGCGGUAA
rnacentral:rRNA from 1 species